AAGGAGUACCUGAUGAGGGCUCAUUUCGGGCUUCCCAGCGUGGAGGCGGAGGACAAAGAGGGAAAACCACCGAUCAGUGUGAAGUUUGAGAUUCCCUAUUUCACCACUUCUGGAAUACAGGUGCGUUACCUGAAGAUCAUUGAGAAGAGCGGCUAUCAGGCGCUCCCGUGGGUUCGAUACAUCACCCAGAACGGAGACUAUCAGCUGCGGACUCAGUGAACGGGAGGAAUUGGUCCAGAGCAUCAUGGGUCAAGGAUGUGUGUGUCUCUCUCUCUUUCUCUCUUUCUCACACUCAUCUGCAGUAGUGCUUUUGUCUGAUUUAAAAGAAAUACAGGCCAUGUUUUGGCUAGAUCUUAGGCUAGAUUUUGCCCAAAUUUUCCAGAGUACAAAGACCCUGAACAUCAGAAAAGGCAGAUAGAUGAAUCUUACGAAACACUCCAAAAGAUUUGAAUCAUAUGAAUCUUUUUAUUUUAUUUUUUAGUAUCGUUACAUUAUAAUCAUGAUAAUUAAUCACAUUCCCCUUCAAAUUCUAAUUGAUUCUUUUGAUUUUGUAUUGAAAUAUGAGCCUUUGAGAGGAUUCUGUACUGAAAUCAGUUCAGGGUCUGAAACUUCACAAACUGCAGAUGUGUGUGUUCAGUUCAGUUCUGUCGUGUCAUUUGACAGUUACCGGGAAUCAUAUUCAUGAAAACGCCGGGUUCACGUCACAUCUCGAGGCGGAAGCGUUCAUACGCGUUACAUUUCAGAGGACGAUGUUUCCAUACUGUGGUUAUUUAUCCGUUGAAUGUUGCACAUUACAGUGUUCAAGUCCAAAAAGGUCAACUGAAUAGAAAUAUUAUAGUCUGUAAAUGCAAAUUGAACCGUUUUACAUGAGCCAAUCCAGUAGUGAGUUUUUGGGGAUGUCCUUUUGUCAGUAUUUUUGUUAUUUUCUAGUGUAGUAUUCAUGUGCUCAUGGUUCAGUAUUAUUGGUUACGGUAGCGGCUGCUCUGGGAUCUGUUCACAGUACCUCAUGUGAGUUUACUACGCAGAAUUAAAACUAUUCAACGCGACUCGAAUCUAAAAUCAACCAUCGUGCCAUUUUGAAAGUAGAAGAAUAGUUGUUUUCUUUUGUAUUACUAAUUUGAUUAUUUGUCCAGUUCAUUUCAUUUGCCUUUGAAGGAUUGAAUGUGAAGGUUACCAUGUUUACUAUGGUACUGCAUGCAGUGUAUCUGAAAUGUGACAAUUGCAUUCCUCUCAGAAUCGUCCUGUAUCUCAUUUAAAUUAUUCACCUGUCUGUACACGUCAAGCAUCAUAAAGUACCUGUUUAGAAAACCUG